ACCCAGAUAGCUCAGUUGGUAGAGCAUGAGGCUCUUAAUCUCAGGAUCAUGGGUUCAAACCCCAUGCUGGACA
rnacentral:tRNA from 1 species